UAAUACGUAGGGAGCAAGCGUUGUCCGGAUUCACUGGGUGUAAAGGGUGCGUAGGCGGGAGAAUAAGUCAGCGGUGAAAUCUUACGGCUCAACCGUGAAACUGCCGUUGAUACUGUUUUUCUUGAGUUCGGGAGAGGUUGAUGGAAUUCCAGGUGUAGCGGUGAAAUGCGUAGAUAUCUGGAAGAACACCAGUGGCGAAGGCGGUCAACUGGCCCGAAACUGACGCUGAGGCACGAAAGCGUGGGUAGCGAACAGGAUUAGAUACCCUGGUAGUCCACGCCCUAAACGAUGAAUGCUUGGUGUUGGCCGGAAACGGUCAGUGCCGGAGGUAACCUGGUAAGCAUUCCACCUGGGGAGUACGCUCGCAAGGGUG
rnacentral:rRNA from 1 species